CUGGUUGAUCCUGCCAGAGGUUACUGCUAUCGAGGUUCGACUAAGCCAUGCGAGUCGAAUGUAGCAAUACAUGGCGUACUGCUCAGUAACACGUGGACAACCUGCCCUUAGGUCGGGUAUAAACCCGGGAAACUGGGUAUAAUCCCCGAUAGGUCUCGGCUGCUGGAAUGCAUCGAGAUUUAAAGCUCCGGCGCCUAAGGAUGGGUCUGCGGCCUAUCAGGUAGUAGUGGGUGUAGCGUACCUACUAGCCUACGACGGGUACGGGUUGUGAGAGCAAGAGCCCGGAGAUGGAUUCUGAGACACGAAUCCAGGCCCUACGGGGUGCAGCAGGCGCGAAAACUUUACAAUGCUGGCAACAGCGAUAAGGGAACCUCGAGUGCCAGGUUACAAAUCUGGCUGUCGAGAUGCCUAAAAAGCAUUUCAUAGCAAGGGCCGGGCAAGACCGGUGCCAGCCGCCGCGGUAACACCGGCGGCUCGAGUGGUAACCGUUAUUAUUGGGUCUAAAGGGUCUGUAGCCGGCCGGAUAAGUCUCUUGAGAAAUCUGGCAGCUUAACUGUCAGGCUUUCAGGAGAUACUGUCUGGCUCGAGGCCGGGAGAGGUGAGAGGUACUUCAGGGGUAGGGGUGAAAUCUUGUAAUCCUUGAAGGACCACCAGUGGCGAAGGCGUCUCACCAGAACGGACCUGGCGGCAAGGGACGAAAGCUAGGGGCACGAACCGGAUUAGAUACCCGGGUAGUCCUAGCCGUAAACGAUACUCGCUAGGUGUCGGCCACGGUGCGACCGUUGUCGGUGCCGUAGGGAAGCUGUGAAGCGAGCCACCUGGGAAGUACGGCCGCAAGGCUGAAACUUAAAGGAAUUGGCGGGGGAGCACCAC
rnacentral:rRNA from 1 species